AUGAAGCACCUAAAGCCGUGGUGGUCAGCCGGCGGCGGCCUCCUGCAUUUCACCAUCCUGCUGAGCUUGGCGGGGCUCCACGUGGACCUAGAACUCUACCUGCUGCUGCCGCCGCCCGCCCUGCUCCGGGAUGAGCUGCUGCUCCCCGGCGGCCCGGCCAGCUCCACCCACGCGCUCUGCCCCUUCCCGGCCUCGAGAGGGUGGGAGCGCGCCGGCUGGCUGCACCCCAAGGGCCGGGAGCCGGACCCCGCAGCGGCACCCGAGGGCCAGCUGCUCCGGGAGGUACGCGCGCUAGGGGUCCCGUUCAUCCCCCGCGCCCGGAUGGAUGCGUGGCUGGUGCACAGCGUGGCGGCGGGGGACGCGGACGCGGCCCACGGGCUGCUCGGCGCCGCUGCCCCGUCGGCCGGAGGAGUUGGCGCCAGCUUGGAUGGCAGCAGCCAGGCUGCGCAGCGGGGCGGCGGGGACCCGCCAGCGACUCAGAGUAGCCCCUUGGCCGCUGAGGAGAAGGAGAAGGCACCCGCGGAACCGACGGCUCAGAUGCCAGACGCUGGCGGAUGCCUGUGCAAGGAGAAUGAGGUACUAAGAGAGAAGUGGGAAGCUGUGGCUCACAGUUCCCAGCAGGAGGAAAAGAAGAAAGGGUGUUAGCCCAGAAGGAGACAUCACUACAGCAGAAUAAUGAAGAGGAAAACAAAAUAGCAGAUAAACCUGACUGGGAGUCAGAAAAGACCGCUGAGUCUAGAAAUGAGAGACAUCUAAAUGGGACAGAUACAUCUUUCUCUCUGGAAGACUUAUUCCAGUUGCUUUCAUCACAGCCUGAAAAUUCACUGGAGGGCAUCUCACUGGGAGAUAUUUCUCCUCUUCUAGGCAGUAUCAAUGAUGUCAUGAAUUCUUCAGCACAUUAUAAUGUAAAUUUUCGCCAGGCUAUAAGUCACGAAGUGAAUCUUCAUGAGGCCAUGUUGCUGUGUCCCAAGAGUACAUUCAAAAGAGAUCCAGUAACAAAGGCUUCACAGGCACAAGAACCGUUUCUGCAGUUAACUUCUCAUACCGUCAAUCCUGAGCAAACCCUUCCUGGAACUAAUUUGACAGAAUUUCUCCCACCUGUUGAUAAUCAGACGAGGAAUCUAACAAGCCAAGACCUACUAUGUGACCUUGAUGUAAAUAUAUUUGAUGAGAUAAACUUAAUGUCAUUAACCACAGAAGAAGAUUUUAAUCCAAUGGAAGUUUCCCAGCUUUUUGAAGAACCAGAUUCUGAUUCUGGCCUUUCUUUAAAUUCAAGUCACAAUAGCAUCUCUGUCACCAAGUCUAAUUCUUCUCAUUCUAUGUAUGAUGAAGAAGGUGCUGUAGGUUAUAACAGUGACCUUGGAUCUCUUUCCUAUCAUGACUUAGAAGGGGCUGUAGGAGGCUACUAUGCAGAACCCAGUAAGCUUUGUCACAUGGAUCAUAGGAGUGAUUCUGGUUUCCAUGGGGAUCUUACAUUUCAACACAUAUUUCAUAACCACACUUACCACUUAAAACCAAGCACACCAGAAUCCACUUCUGAAUCCUUUUCAUGGCCUGGGAAGUCACAGAAAAUAAGGAGUAAGUACCUCAGUGACACAGACAGAAACUUGAGCCAUGAUGAAUGGUGUGCUAAAGCUCUGCAUAUCCCUUUUUCUGUAGAUAAAAUUGUCCGUAUGCCUGUUGAUUCUUUCAACAGCAUGUUAAGUAGGUACUAUCUGACAGACCUACAAGUCUCGCUCAUCCAUGAUAUCCAACGAAGAGGGAAAAAUAAAGUAGCUGCUCAGAACUGUUGUAAACACAAAUUAGACAUAAUUUUGAGUCUAGAAGAUGAUGUAUGUAACUUGCAAGCAAAGAAGGAAACCCUUAAGAGAGAGCGAGCCCAAUGUAACAAAGCAAUUAACUUAAUGAAACAGAAACUGCAUGACCUUUAUCAUGUUGUUCUUAGUAGGUUAAGAGAUGACCAAGGUAGGCCAGGCAAUCCAAAUCAGUGUGCUCUUCAGUGCAGUCAUAAUGGAAGCAUUUUGAUCGUACCCAAAGAACUGGUGACCUCAGGCCACAAAAGGGAAACCCAAAAGGGAAAGAGAAAAAGUGAGAGAAGAACCUAAAGACGGACUCCAUUAUGUGGAUAAAGUAGUAAUGCUCAGAAACUUAUUAUCUGGAUCACAAACCACUGAAAUUGCUUCAAGUGUUACAUCUUUUAAGUACUGCUACCUGAAGCACUCCGUUAAGGCUACAUUUUGAAGUUUAUAUGGACAAAUAUUUUGAACUUCAAGAUCAUAACUUAUGGGGAAUUUAUAGAAAGCCACAACUUUU